GGGUUGUGAGGUUAAGCGACUAAGCGUACACGGUGGAUGCCCUGGCAGUCAGAGGCGAUGAAGGACGUGCUAAUCUGCGAUAAGCGUCGGUGAGGUGAUAUGAACCGUUAUAACCGGCGAUUUCCGAAUGGGGAAACCCAGUGUGUUUCGACACACUAUCAUUAACUGAAUCCAUAGGUUAAUGAGGCGAACCGGGGGAACUGAAACAUCUAAGUACCCCGAGGAAAAGAAAUCAACCGAGAUUCCCCCAGUAGCGGCGAGCGAACGGGGAGGAGCCCAGAGCCUGAAUCAGUGUGUGUGUUAGUGGAAGCGUCUGGAAAGGCGCGCGAUACAGGGUGACAGCCCCGUACACAAAAAUGCACAUAUUGUGAGCUCGAUGAGUAGGGCGGGACACGUGGUAUCCUGUCUGAAUAUGGGGGGACCAUCCUCCAAGGCUAAAUACUCCUGACUGACCGAUAGUGAACCAGUACCGUGAGGGAAAGGCGAAAAGAACCCCGGCGAGGGGAGUGAAAAAGAACCUGAAACCGUGUACGUACAAGCAGUGGGAGCCUCUUAAUGGGGUGACUGCGUACCUUUUGUAUAAUGGGUCAGCGACUUAUAUUCUGUAGCAAGGUUAACCGAAUAGGGGAGCCGAAGGGAAACCGAGUCUUAACUGGGCGUUAAGUUGCAGGGUAUAGACCCGAAACCCGGUGAUCUAGCCAUGGGCAGGUUGAAGGUUGGGUAACACUAACUGGAGGACCGAACCGACUAAUGUUGAAAAAUUAGCGGAUGACUUGUGGCUGGGGGUGAAAGGCCAAUCAAACCGGGAGAUAGCUGGUUCUCCCCGAAAGCUAUUUAGGUAGCGCCUCGUGAAUUCAUCUCCGGGGGUAGAGCACUGUUUCGGCAAGGGGGUCAUCCCGACUUACCAACCCGAUGCAAACUGCGAAUACCGGAGAAUGUUAUCACGGGAGACACACGGCGGGUGCUAACGUCCGUCGUGAAGAGGGAAACAACCCAGACCGCCAGCUAAGGUCCCAAAGUCAUGGUUAAGUGGGAAACGAUGUGGGAAGGCCCAGACAGCCAGGAUGUUGGCUUAGAAGCAGCCAUCAUUUAAAGAAAGCGUAAUAGCUCACUGGUCGAGUCGGCCUGCGCGGAAGAUGUAACGGGGCUAAACCAUGCACCGAAGCUGCGGCAGCGACACUAUGUGUUGUUGGGUAGGGGAGCGUUCUGUAAGCCUGUGAAGGUGGCCUGUGAGGGUUGCUGGAGGUAUCAGAAGUGCGAAUGCUGACAUAAGUAACGAUAAAGCGGGUGAAAAGCCCGCUCGCCGGAAGACCAAGGGUUCCUGUCCAACGUUAAUCGGGGCAGGGUGAGUCGACCCCUAAGGCGAGGCCGAAAGGCGUAGUCGAUGGGAAACAGGUUAAUAUUCCUGUACUUGGUGUUACUGCGAAGGGGGGACGGAGAAGGCUAUGUUGGCCGGGCGACGGUUGUCCCGGUUUAAGCGUGUAGGCUGGUUUUCCAGGCAAAUCCGGAAAAUCAAGGCUGAGGCGUGAUGACGAGGCACUACGGUGCUGAAGCGACAAAUGCCCUGCUUCCAGGAAAAGCCUCUAAGCAUCAGGUAACAUCAAAUCGUACCCCAAACCGACACAGGUGGUCAGGUAGAGAAUACCAAGGCGCUUGAGAGAACUCGGGUGAAGGAACUAGGCAAAAUGGUGCCGUAACUUCGGGAGAAGGCACGCUGAUAUGUAGGUGAAGCGACUUGCUCGUGGAGCUGAAAUCAGUCGAAGAUACCAGCUGGCUGCAACUGUUUAUUAAAAACACAGCACUGUGCAAACACGAAAGUGGACGUAUACGGUGUGACGCCUGCCCGGUGCCGGAAGGUUAAUUGAUGGGGUUAGCGGUAACGCGAAGCUCUUGAUCGAAGCCCCGGUAAACGGCGGCCGUAACUAUAACGGUCCUAAGGUAGCGAAAUUCCUUGUCGGGUAAGUUCCGACCUGCACGAAUGGCGUAAUGAUGGCCAGGCUGUCUCCACCCGAGACUCAGUGAAAUUGAACUCGCUGUGAAGAUGCAGUGUACCCGCGGCAAGACGGAAAGACCCCGUGAACCUUUACUAUAGCUUGACACUGAACAUUGAGCCUUGAUGUGUAGGAUAGGUGGGAGGCUUUGAAGUGUGGACGCCAGUCUGCAUGGAGCCGACCUUGAAAUACCACCCUUUAAUGUUUGAUGUUCUAACGUGGGCCCCUUACCGGGGUUGCGGACAGUGUCUGGUGGGUAGUUUGACUGGGGCGGUCUCCUCCUAAAGAGUAACGGAGGAGCACGAAGGUUGGCUAAUCCUGGUCGGACAUCAGGAGGUUAGUGCAAUGGCAUAAGCCAGCUUGACUGCGAGCGUGACGGCGCGAGCAGGUGCGAAAGCAGGUCAUAGUGAUCCGGUGGUUCUGAAUGGAAGGGCCAUCGCUCAACGGAUAAAAGGUACUCCGGGGAUAACAGGCUGAUACCGCCCAAGAGUUCAUAUCGACGGCGGUGUUUGGCACCUCGAUGUCGGCUCAUCACAUCCUGGGGCUGAAGUAGGUCCCAAGGGUAUGGCUGUUCGCCAUUUAAAGUGGUACGCGAGCUGGGUUUAGAACGUCGUGAGACAGUUCGGUCCCUAUCUGCCGUGGGCGCUGGAGAACUGAGGGGGGCUGCUCCUAGUACGAGAGGACCGGAGUGGACGCAUCACUGGUGUUCGGGUUGUCAUGCCAAUGGCACUGCCCGGUAGCUAAAUGCGGAAGAGAUAAGUGCUGAAAGCAUCUAAGCACGAAACUUGCCCCGAGAUGAGUUCUCCCUGACUCCUUGAGAGUCCUGAAGGAACGUUGAAGACGACGACGUUGAUAGGCCGGGUGUGUAAGCGCAGCGAUGCGUUGAGCUAACCGGUACUAAUGAAC
rnacentral:rRNA from 1 species